rnacentral:rRNA from 1 species
GAUGAACGCUGGCGGCGUGCUUAACACAUGCAAGUCGAACGGGAAACCUUUUAUUGAAGCUUCGGCAGAUUUAGCUGGUUUCUAGUGGCGGACGGGUGAGUAACGCGUGGGUAACCUGCCCUAUACAGGGGGAUAACAACCAGAAAUGGUUGCUAAUACCGCAUAAGCGCACAGGGCCGCAUGGUCCGGUGUGAAAAACUCCGGUGGUAUAGGAUGGACCCGCGUUGGAUUAGCCAGUUGGCAGGGUAACGGCCUACCAAAGCGACGAUCCAUAGCCGGCAUGAGAGGGUGAACGGCCACAUUGGGACUGAGACACGGCCCAGAAUCCUACGGGAGGCAGCAGUGGAGAAUAUUGCACAAUGGGGGAAACCCUGAUGAAGCGACGCCGCGUGAAGGAAGAAGUAUCUCGGUAUGUAAACUUCUAUCAGCAGGGAAGAUAGUGACGGUACCUGACUAAGAAGCCCCGGCUAACUACGUG